CCUACGGGAGGCAGCAGUGGGGAAUUUUCCGCAAUGGGCGAAAGCCUGACGGGGCAACGCCGCGUGAGGGAUGAAGGCCUCUGGGCUGUAAACCUCUUUUAUCAAGGAAGAAGAUCUGACGGUACUUGAUGAAUAAGCCACGGCUAAUUCCGUGCCAGCAGCCGCGGUAAUACGGGAGUGGCAAGCGUUAUCCGGAAUUAUUGGGCGUAAAGCGUCCGCAGGCGGUCUUGUAAGUCUGUCGUUAAAGCGUGGAGCUUAACUCCAUUUCGGCGGUGGAAACUACAAGACUAGAGUGUGGUAGGGGCAGAGGGAAUUCCCGGUGUAGCGGUGAAAUGCGUAGAUAUCGGGAAGAACACCAGUGGCGAAGGCGCUCUGCUGGGCCAUAACUGACGCUCAUGGACGAAAGCUAGGGGAGCGAAAGGGAUUAGAUACCCCUGUAGUCCUAGCCGUAAACGAUGAACACUAGGUGUCGGGGGAAUCGACCCCUCGGUGUCGUAGCUAACGCGUUAAGUGUUCCGCCUGGGGAGUACGCACGCAAGUGUGAACUCAAAGGAAUUGACGG
rnacentral:rRNA from 1 species